rnacentral:rRNA from 1 species
GACGAACGCUGGCGGCGUGCCUAAUACAUGCAAGUAGAACGCUGAAGAGAGGAGCUUGCUCUUCUUGGAUGAGUUGCGAACGGGUGAGUAACGCGUAGGUAACCUGCCUGGUAGCGGGGGAUAACUAUUGGAAACGAUAGCUAAUACCGCAUGAUAUUAAUUGUCGCAUGAUAAUUAAUUGAAAGAUGCAAUUGCAUCACUACCAGAUGGACCUGCGUUGUAUUAGCUAGUUGGUGAGGUAACGGCUCACCAAGGCGACGAUACAUAGCCGACCUGAGAGGGUGAUCGGCCACACUGGGACUGGGACACGGCCCAGACUCCUACGGGAGGCAGCAGUAGGGACAUCUUCGGCAAUGGGGGGAACCCUGACCGAGCAACGCCGCGUGAGUGAAGAAGGUUUUCGGAUCGUAAAGCUCUGUUGUAAGAGAAGAACGGGU